rnacentral:rRNA from 1 species
AUUGAACGCUGGCGGCAGGCCUAACACAUGCAAGUCGAGCGAGCGGCGGACGGGUGAGUAAUUUCUGGGAAACUGCCUGACGGAGGGGGAUCACUACUGGAAACGGUAGCUAAUACCGCAUACCAUCAGAUUUGCCCAGAGGGGAUUAGCUAGUCGUUGGGGUAAUGGCUCACCUAGGUGACGAUCCCUAGCUGGUCUGAGAGGAUGACCAGCCAAACUGGAACUGGGACACGGUCCAGACUCCUAGGGGAGGAGGCAGUGGGGAAUAUUGGAAAAGGGGGGAAAGCCUGAUGCAGCCAUGCCGCGUGUGUGAAGAAGGCCUUCGGGUUGUAAAGCACUUUCAGCGAGGAGGCGUUACUCGCAGAAGAAGCACCGGCUAACUACGUGCCAGCCGCCGCGGUAAUUC